AUAAAGCUUGGAAUUCUCAAGCACAUCUUUCAUUUAUUAAUCAUAGUACCUGAUAAUGUCUCUUUUUCAUAACUAAAUGUGGAUGAUGUGAUAGAAGUAGGAGCAAAGAUUGCAUGAAAACAAAGAAUGGAACAUAAUAAGACUCUGGGUUUUUCCUUUACUCUGAAUUCACUUUUGCCAGUAUGGCCUCCCUGGAAUAGAGAGUACUGGACUGGGUUCUGCACUACCUGUAUAACCAGUAAAUCAUGAUCUGUAGGGACAGGGAAACUAACAUUUACUGAGCCCCAGGUUAGGAGAUGAGUCCCAUCCGCAGAAGUCCCAGAGCGAAGAUGACAUGGAGCAGAGGUACAAACCUGCCGGUAGUGGCAGUGAGAGCUGAACCUUCACUGCAUGUGAAAGCGGUAUUCCCUACUUCAUGGCAAAUGAUUCAAUGCAGCAUUCUGAGUCUUUAGACACUGCUCAUGGGGAUGAAGGGUGCAGUGGGUGGGUAGUCUUAUAUCUAGGGGUUUAGCUAGGAUAAUUGCUCCAGGUGUCA
rnacentral:lncRNA from 1 species